CCUUCAAGGUAGCAGGCUACUAAAUAUUUACUUGGAUGCAUUUUAGAAUUGCUAAAGACAUCUUACUGCUAUAUGAUAUCCAUUCUUCCCUCUUUCAAAUGGAAGUGAUUUUUGCCAAGGGAGAUAGAAUAAAAAAUGGUAUCUGUUUCUGUAUGUAUGUUCAUAAAGAAGUCUAUGGAAUUGAUCAAAGUGAUGACUGCUUUCACCUGAGUGGAAACUGGAAAGACUGGGGGCAAGGUAUAAAGGAGACAAAAUUUCCUCUGUAUAUCUUUUAAUAUUUAUGAUUUUUACAACUGUGGGUAGGUAUUCCAUAUUCAUAAAAUGAAAUGAAAAAUAUUUAAAAUAUGUUUUAGGGCUUAGUGAAUUGCUGAAAAGAGGGUUAAGAGAUGUAAUAUGGAGAUUCUUACAUUUCUGGUUUAACCAAUUUAAUUCAAUAGACCAAGAGAGAAAAUGUAUUGCAAGCAUAUCUGUGGGAAAGAAAACUGUGUUUUAGAUAUGUUAAAUACCAAAGUGUAUCUAAAGCUAUUUACUGGUCUUAAUGUGACCAAUGAUUCAGGUUUGCCUAACACUAUUUGGGUUUGGGUUUUAAAAUCUCUACAUCCUAGGAAACUUCCUCAAGGUGCAAAAUAUCCUGAUUUUCAGCAAUGGGUACAGAAAGCAUUCAUAUGGUAGCCAAAAAAGAGUGAGUUCUAAAAGUAAUACUCUAUUUAGUUCCAAAUAGAUAUGGCAUAGGUGAUUCACUUUUCAGUAGUUACUGUCACUGUUUUUUCCCCAACCACUGAUGUUGUCAACUCUGAUUUGUAUUGCACAGUAAUGACAUAUCCAUUGUUGCAUGACUCUAAGCGAUGUUACUUAUGUUUGCAGCCCAAAUGUAUUAUAACUCAUCCUACACAAAAUUCAGAAAGGAAUUUGGGAUUGGGCAUAGUAGAAAAUGGGAUGCAAAACCACAAAGGGAGUUUAAAUUUUCCAAGUCCUUAUGUAAAUAAGCAAGUACUUCUAAGUCAGUCAAAUGUUUUUUUCUUCUUCUCUCAAAACACCAGUGUUCAGUCAAAAAUAGCCACUGUAUUAGUCUGUGGGCAUAGCACAAGAAUAAACACACAUGCUACAAUCUAUCUGAUUAUUCUAUCAAAAUGAAUGAAGAUGCAUUUCCUGAUUCAGGGAUUGCAACCCUGUAGCAAACAAUGGGAGAAAUUUUGAUAACAGAGGUGUUGGCUUAUUGCAGCAUAGACCUGAUUCAGUCAGAUCUUAUUAACAAUCAUGGUUUUUACAGUAUAUCAAGUGAUGCAUUGAGUCAUGUGAACAAUGACAAAAAAAAAAAUGUUUCUUCUAGUACUUAGGUGAUUUGAUUUGGAAAAUGGAGUUUGAAAUCAUCUUCUUGGUUUUUAUAAGGAGAUGGUAGAACCACAGAAAAGAUAGAGAAUCCUGUAUACCUUAGACAUGCACACUAUGCUGAUAUAUUAUCCAAAUAAAAACUAAACUUUGCCCAUUGUAUUAGUUUCCUAUUGCUGCUGUAAUAAAUUACUCCAAACUUAAUGGAAUAAAACAAUACAAAUUUAUAUCUUACAGUUCUGGAUGUCAGGAUUCUGAAAUGAGUCUCACUGGGCUAAUAUUAAGUCAUCAGAGCUAAAAAAUCAAGGUACUACCAUGGUUUUUACCUUUCCAAAACCUUUAGGGGAGAAUUUGUUUUUUGGACCUUUCCCACUUCUAGAGGCCACCUCCAUUCCUUGCCUAGUGGGCCUCUCAUGUCUUCAAAGCAAUUAAUGUCUGGUUGAAUCUUAACAUCACAUCACUCUGACACUGGCUCUUCUGCCUUCCUCUUACAAAUUUAAAAGAGCCCACUUGGGUAUUCAAGGAUAUUCUUCCUACCUUAAAGAUAGCUGAUUAGAAACCUUAAUUCUAUCUGCUACCUUCAUCCCCUUUUGUCUCUAAAACAACAUAUUCCCAAACUCCAGAGAUUAAGAUGGGAACAUCUUGUGAGACCAUUUUUCUGCCUACCACACUAAGUUAUCUGCACUAUUUGGCAGGCAGUAGAAUAUAAAUCUUGACAAAUCCCAAUCAGCCUAUAAACUUCUGACCAAAGAAAAUGCAAAGAUAUUACCUGCUCUGUAUCCUGCAUACCUUAGACAUGCACAUUAUUGCUAAAGGAGAUGUGUUUUAUAGAUCUGUGAAAUUGAGAUAAUGAAAGCUUUUUUGAUCACUCUUCAGUGUUCUAAAAGUGCAGAAGUAGAUGGCGGUAUUUUGGACUUUAUAGAAAUAGAAAAAUAUGUCCUCCUUAGACACGAGACUACAAAUGACUAUCAUUGUUCCUGGCCAAAAAGGAACAAAGUGUUAACAUAAAUUCAUUUCCAAAACAUGGUGCAAGAAUAAUGAUCUUCUCUAAUUUGGAAAUAUAUCGAGGAUAAUGAAGAAAGGGAAAAAAUAAAUAAUAAAAUAAAAUAGAUAUUUACAGGCUGUUUCUCUAAAUCUGAACUGUGAGUGGCAAGAAGGAAUCUAGAGGAAAAGGAACCGACUGCACUUGAGUUGUUUAAUAUUUAGAUUGAGACAAAAACUCACAGGUUACUUUAAAACACGAAAAAAAUAUCAACAGAAAAGGGAAGCCAAGUUUUAAGAGGACUUUCUCAUCUUUUAACUGAAACUAUUAUUUGGAAUCCAAUUUUGAUUUUAUAAGUUUAAAUUAUCUUUGUACUUUAAAACUACUAUCCUUAAGAAAGAGAGGUUUAACUUAACCAUGCCAUUCAAAGAGCUCUGAACUUUUAAAAAAUGAUGGCUAUCUUCAACGUUUACACGAUGUGAAACAAAAGACCUGGUUGACAAAGAGCUUAUCCACCAAAACAAGUCUGUAGAUAUAAAGUGGAGAGAGAAAUUUGGAAUCUAUUUCUAGCAAGUUUAAACACUUAGGAAGUAAAAUGCUAAGUAAUCAAACGGUUUUGUUGUGAGCUGAUAUGAGCAAUCAGUGUAAAGAGGGCUUGAUAAGAGUAGAGUUUCAAACCAAACUCAGUUUUACAUGUGACUGUAUUUAGUUUUGCUAAUAUUUUUUAAAAGAACAAUGACCUAAAGGCUGCAGGCAGUGCAGAAAAGCAUUAUUGGAAAAGGAAACAGAGUAGAAAAACUGCAUUGCAGGACAGAAACAAACACACAAUUGAUAUUUUGUAUUAAAUGUAGGUAACAUGUGCUUACUUAGUCCUUUUGAUUUUUAAGUUCUCCAUUUUUAAUCUCAAAUUUAUUUAUCUUAAAGACUUACAAUAUUAUGGCCUAUAAAAUUUAAAUAUCCAAAUAAAGUUCAAGAAACCACUAAAAAAACUGCUAUAUCAGAGGAUAGAAUGAAUAAGAUUGUUAUGUUUUCAUACAUACUGUUUGCUUAAUUAGUCCUGUCAAUUACCACUAAAUUGCCAUUUUAACUAUUCUAUUGCAAUUUUGUUUAAUAGCAAUUAUGUAACAGAAAAAUAAAUAUUAGGCAAUAAUAUGCAAUUUUAAAUAAAUGUCUAUUUUUCAUAUGUUAAAGUAAUUACAUACAUGCAUAUAAUUAUAUUAUGCUAUGUUAUAUUGUAUUUUGGGGGGGCAUGGGGACUGGCAUGGUAUGACACAUUGGCUCUCUGAAAAGUUGAUUAUCCUAGAAUUUGAAUCUGAAGCCAAAGAGAUUGAUCUGGGCUGGAAAUAAGUAUUUGGAAGUUAAAAAAAAAAAAUCACUUCCAGCUUUGUACUACUUUUUUGCAUGCUCCAUUACAAUAUUAUCACAAAUAUCUGUAUUAAAUUGACUUUAAAACAUUUUAAAGAAUAUUUUUUAAAAUAUUAAUAUGUUACAGUGGAAAUAUUUUAUAUGCAAAAGAGUAGAAGAAAUAAGAGAAU
rnacentral:lncRNA from 1 species